rnacentral:rRNA from 1 species
GAUGAACGCUGGCGGCGUGCCUAAUACAUGCAAGUCGAGCGAACGGACGAGAAGCUUGCUUCUCUGAUGUUAGCGGCGGACGGGUGAGUAACACGUAGAUAACCUACCUAUAAGACUGGGAUAACUUCGGGAAACCGGAGCUAAUACCGGAUAAUAUUUUGAACCGCAUGGUUCAAAAGUGAAAGACGGUCUUGCUGUCACUUAUAGAUGGAUCCGCGCUGCAUUAGCUAGUUGGUAAGGUAACGGCUUACCAAGGCAACGAUGCAUAGCCGACCUGAGAGGGUGAUCGGCCACACUGGAACUGAGACACGGUCCAGACUCCUACGGGAGGCAGCAGUAGGGAAUCUUCCGCAAUGGGCGAAAGCCUGACGGAGCAACGCCGCGUGAGUGAUGAAGGUCUUCGGAUCAUAAAACUCUGUUAUUAGGGAAGAACAUAUGUGUAAGUAACUGUGCACAUCUUGACGGUACCUAAUCAGAAAGCCACGGCUAACUACGUG